CUUGCUGUUGACGUCCGGUGCUGUGUCGUCCCACAUUAAAUAAAGCAGCAGUUUAUGGCACCCUUUGAACACAAUGCCUUUCCGUCUGGCGUGUCUGGCGUCUGGUACUGUGUCAUCCCUCCCAGCCUGCUCCGCACAAUAGUAAUUGACGAACACAACACACCACGUGGAGAGAAGCAAGGUGUGGAGUACCCAAGCCUCUCACAGUCCAUGCUAGUAGACUCACCCUGCAUGUGGAGAUCUCCCAAAAUGCACGGAGGUUAUUCCAGAGCUGCAGGACAGAGUACUUGAGGCCAUUGGUGAACAGAAAGCUGAGGUUGAACAAAGCCAAGAAUUGAUAGCUGCCCAAGGUGUAAGCAAGAUUCACAAUGAUGAGGUCAUUGUGACGUGUGCAAUGUGUCCACUGGUCUUGGCCUUCCUGACCAAGGCAGCCACACAAAGGAAAUUCCACGUUAUUGUUGCCGAACGUGCCCCUAAAUAUGAUGCAAGGGUCACCCAGUGGCAAAAGCUUUAUGUACUGCUGGAAUUGAGACAACAUUAAUUCAAGACUCUGCAGUGUUCCCCAUCAUGUCACGUGUCAACAAGGUCAUCAAAGGUCAUCGUUGGCACCGAGACGGUGGUGACCAACGGAGGCAUUGAGACCUUUGUUGGUGCAGCCUCUCUUGCCUCACCACCAAAGUUUUAUUCUGUUUCAGUAAGUUUUAUUUGUUAGUCAUUAUCCUGAUACCUCUUUCAGUGGGGCAGUAUUUGAAACAUAUUUACUGUUGCAAAUUGAACAGGGAAGGUAUCACAAAAGUACAUACCAUUUUAUUCUCACAGAAAUUCUUGAUUCCAGUUUUUGAUACAUUCCUUUUCCACAUGUUUAUUUCGUGUAGGUGGAUAUACAUUCCUCGUGUUGAGUGUUGGAUGGUCCUUUCUCAAACCUCAACCUGUUGUUGUCUCAUGUGGAGCUAGAUACUAUCAGAUCAGUACCAUCAGAUCAGUCGGCGGUCCCGUUGAUGCCGGAUAAGAGGGAUUUUACUGUACCCUGUUUAUCUUGCACUUAGCUUUAAAUAAUGGCUGCUGACCAUUUAAAUCUCUUUUAUUUCAGUCGAGGUACUGCACCAUCCUACGUGUACCGGCAGCUUAGCAAACUGUACCGUCCCACUUCUUGUGAUCUCUAAGGUAACAGCUUUAAUCCUUGCAAAUAAGGAAUAAGAGAAAAGAGACACACCUGCCAUUUGUACUGUUAUGCUGUAGUGUUCUGUCAUUUUUUUCCUCUUUUAUCCUAGAACCAUUUUUGGUCAUUCAUGUUUCUAAAAAUUAUUAUACAAAAAUGUUGAGCUUAAUAUGUUUGGUGUAGUUUUUUGUAACAUGUGUUAUUAUUGUUAAUGUGUGUGGUUCCCCUCAGGAAGAAUGUUGCAGUAUUAGCAGUAAUGUUACAGCCAAUGGAAGUGUCUGUAUUGUGCUUUGGUGGGAGGUUAAUUUGAUGUAUUUUUAGAGUUGUGCAGGAUAUUAUAGCAAGCCCUCAAAAUAAAGAAAAUAACUAUAGAAAA